GACGAACGCUGGCGGCGUGCUUAACACAUGCAAGUCGAACGGAAAGGCCCUGCUUUUGUGGGGUGCUCGAGUGGCGAACGGGUGAGUAACACGUGAGUAACCUGCCCUUGACUUUGGGAUAACUUCAGGAAACUGGGGCUAAUACCGGAUAGGAGCUCCUGCUGCAUGGUGGGGGUUGGAAAGUUUCGGCGGUUGGGGAUGGACUCGCGGCUUAUCAGCUUGUUGGUGGGGUAGUGGCUUACCAAGGCUUUGACGGGUAGCCGGCCUGAGAGGGUGACCGGCCACAUUGGGACUGAGAUACGGCCCGGACGCCUGCGGGAGGCAGUAGUGGGGAAUAUGGCACAGUGGGCGGAAGCCUGAUGCAGCAACGCCGCGUGGGGGAUGACGGCCUUCGGGGUGUAAACCGCUUUCGCCUGUGACGAAGCGUGAGUGACGGUAAUGGGUAAAGAAGCACCGGAUAACUACGUG
rnacentral:rRNA from 1 species